rnacentral:rRNA from 1 species
AACGAACGCUGGCGGCAGGCUUAACACAUGCAAGUCGAGCGCAUCCUUCGGGGUGAGCGGCGGACGGGUGAGUAACGCGUGGGAACGUGCCCUCUUCUACGGAAUAUCCUCGGGAAACUGAGAGUAAUGCCGUAUACGCCCGCAAGGGGAAAGAUUUAUCGGAGGAGGAUCGGCCCGCGUUGGAUUAGGUAGUUGGUGGGGUAACGGCCUACCAAGCCGACGAUCCAUAGCUGGUUUGAGAGGAUGAUCAGCCACACUGGGACUGAGACACGGCCCAGACUCCUACGGGAGGGAGCAGUGGGGAAGCUUGGACAAUGGGGGCAACCCUGAGACAGCCAUGCCGCGUGAUCGAUGAAGGCCUUAGGGUUGUAAAGAUCUUUCAGCUGGGAAGAUAAUGACGGUACCAGCAGAAGAAGCCCCGGCUAACUCCGU